GUACAUGUGCUCGCCUUCACACUCUUCAUCCACUCAACCCCUGUGCACUUUAUCAGAGUUAGUAAUAGUAUUGUGGUGGCUGUUUGUUAUCCAUUGUUAGAAGCGGGCAACCCUUUCUGGCAGGUAGGCAUCAUCUCAGUUCAACUGCUACUAUGAACACUUUGACUUUAUUUAUACAAACACUUUGCUUGUUCUUGUGAAUGUGUAAUGCUCCUUGUGAGCGAAAUACAAAUAUACAACUUUCAACAACGGAUCUCUUGGCUCUCGCAUCGAUGAAGAACGCAGCGAAAUGCGAUAAGUAAUGUGAAUUGCAGAAUUCAGUGAAUCAUCGAAUCUUUGAACGCACCUUGCGCCCCUUGGUAUUCCGAGGGGCAUGCCUGUCUGAGUGUCAUGUCAUUCUCAAUCCUCUUUUUCUUAAUUGAAGAAGAGGCUUGGACUUGGAGGGUACAUCUAUGCUGGUACUGUCUGUAUCGGCUCCUCUCAAAUGCAUUAGCUGGACUGUAGUUCGCAUUGUUUGGUGUAGUAAUAGUUUUCUAUCUAUAUUCACUACAGUGCUUGCUUAGACUGUCUGCUUCCAAUAGUCCACCUAUGUGU
rnacentral:misc_RNA from 1 species